AUUUCGUACGGCCAGGCUUUAUGGCUGGUGGGCUCUCCCUUUGUUUAACAUUUCUUCUUUUUUCUUAUUGAGGAAAGAGAUUAAUAGUCUUUCCCCUAAUGAUAUGGUGAGAUGCAUAUUGGAUUAACAUUAAGUUCCUAGCAAUUCCAAAAUAAAUAAUCAUCCUUUCCACCCUCAACACUUUCUUACUCUUCUGCCUAAAUCUCCUUACAAGGGUAGAUGGAAGUGGAUGUGUGGUUUUUGUGGCAGGGAGUCUACGGGAUUCGCUUAUUAUUGUCUACUCUGUAGUCUAUAAAGCAAUUUGGGAUGGAAAAAGUAUCCCGGAAGACUAUGCUGAGAGGUCCAUGGAAGCUCUUGAUGAAUCUAUAAAUUGGAUUACCGAUGUUGUUGAAGAAAUGAGUUUUGGAGAGAAUACGGUAGCAGUUGAGAUCAAACAUGCCUACCAUGAUCACAAUUUAGGACUCACUUUUAGCGGGGAGAUGAAUGAUGAUGGCCAAUGUGAUGGGCGCAUGAGGCCUAUCUCAACUCCUUUUUAUAGUUGUGAGCAAUGCAAGUUUUUUCUCCAUAAAGAAUGCGCUGAACUGUGGAGAAAAAUACGACACCCAUUUCACUUGCUUACACUCACAAAUUCAUACACAAUUCUUUCUUCAAGAUGUAGUGGUUGCCGAAGACUUCACCAUGGAUUUAGCUACAAAUGCAAUGAUAAAGGUUGCAAAUUUGAAUGAGACAUUCGAUAUAUUUUAUUAUUAGACACUUUGGAGCGUCCAAGUCAUGAGCAUUCCUUGUUCCUUGUCCACAACUUUUCAGCGAAUUGCAAUGCUUGUUAUAUAAAAAGAGACCCAUGGAACAUGGCAAAUAGAUGCACAAAGCGCUGUGAUUUCACUUUAGAUCUAGAAUGUGCCAUAGUACCACUCACAGCUUGGUACAAGCAUGAUAGACAUCCUGUUACUUUAACCUGUUUUGAUGAUUCUGAUCCUUCUCAACAUUAUUAUGAUUUGUAUGAGUAUGAAAGGCACCCAAAUUAUUGGUUUUAUUACUGUGUUAAAUGUAAUAACUCUCUCCAUUUUGGAUGUGCUUUUGGGGAGUGCCCAUUUCUAAAACUUUGGAAGCAACCUUGAUGUGGGUUUUUAUCAUGAACACCCACAUCGGCUUAGUAUUGUGAAAAACAUAUGGGAUUGCUCUCUAUGUAAAGAGUGUGGUAAGAUUUACAAUGAACAAGCUCUCCAAUGUAACGAAUCUGAAUGUAACUUUAGCGUCCACUUGAACUGCUUUUAUGAUAUAGCACUGCCCACCAUGUUGACUGAAUCAUUUUAAUGAUAUUCCAAGCUCGCGUUUGUGAAAUAGACAA